AGCACCACUGCCUCCAUCUCUCUACUUCAUCUGGCAGCUGGCCUCCCCCAUGGUCCGGAAAGAUUGCGAACAACCAAGAGGGCAAUUUCUUUCUGUAUAGAAACCUGUUUUUUGGGUAUAAGGAAAUCCCUGCACCUUUGCACAGAACCUUGAUCUGAAAACUUCUCUCUGUCUCAGGAUACAAUCAUACUUCCUUCAUGAAUCCUGCCUCUGAACCAAGACUGGCUGGUAAGAUAUGAUGCAUGAUUUUUUUUCCUCUCCAUUUUGGAAUCACAGUGAAAUGCAGCUGUCCAAGAUAGGAGGGAUCAUAAGUGAUCUUUUCAGAUUCAAGGGUACAUGAAACCAUACUCUGUGAGAAAGGGACCUGCUGUUGUGCCUGAUACAUACUUAACAAUAGCGCUCAAAAAGGCAAGGUUGAAGGGCAUUUUUCAAAAAUCAUUCAAGGUAAUGGAGAAAUUGUCUAAAUUAAUGCACAAAGGAUCUAGUUCAAUAAUUCUCAACAUGUGGUUCAGAGGCCACUAAUGAUUUGCAAGAGUACUGCAGGUGGCCUCCAGCAUGGGUGCGGAAAGAAAUAUCUUUCUUAAAAUGGCUGAAACCCAAAGAGAAUACAAGUCUCCAAGAUUUUUAGUAUUCUUGUUUAAAAGUCUGGCUCCCCCCCCAAAAAAAAUCUCCUAAGAUUUUAGCAGAAGUACCUAAUAAUCUAUGAGUUUUCAUGUUCUCAAAAAUUUUGGUCUUAAAAAAAAAAAAUUUAGUUUGAGGUUCAGAGUGGUCAUAUAUAAUAUGGUGCUUCUGUAGUAGCACCUUAAAGCCUUCAAUCGCAAUGCAAUGAUCUCAUAACAGAAAAGUGGGAAACUGCUGCUUUAAUAGGAAAAAGGGCAGGGAGAGAUCAAAGACGAUGAAGAGACAGAUAUGGGACCUCUAGAUAAAUUAGCCAUAAUAAUAUUCGUUAAAAGUCAAUAUUUUGACAAAAAAAUAAUUUAAAAGAAAAAUUAGGGGAAAGAAGAAAUUUCCUCAAUUUAUCUCCACUGUUUUAAAAUCACAUUAAUAAUGUAUCCGUGAACCUAACUGCUUUGUAAAACCUUUUGGCUCAUUUUGGAAAAUAUUUAAUAGGGCAAUCCUGUUUAUUCAAAAGUAAGUUCCCCUGCAUUUAUCAGGGCUUAAUCUAAGAUCGGAGACUUGGAUUUCAUCCAAGGGAUUAUGAACAAGCCAACAGGUUCUUUGCAUUGCAUUUUUAAAAUGUUUACCGAUAAUCUGAGUGCAUACAACAGCCAUAAAUUCUUGUGCUGCUCUUCUAUGGCUCGGCUUACUGUAUACUAUGAUAUUAUUUAAAAAUAAGUCUGGCUGGUAUCUGUAAAGGUUAUAUUCAAGUAGAUGUGAUCAGACCUAAAUUCAAAACUA